rnacentral:tRNA from 1 species
ACCUUCGUGGUGUAGUGGUCAGCACGCUCGACGCGUAACCGAGAUACCCGUGGUUCGAUUCCCGGCGAAGGCG